UACGGGGGAGCAAGCGUUGUUCGGAUUUACUGGGCGUAAAGGGCGCGUAGGCGGCCACCGCAAGUCGACUGUGAAAUCUCCGGGCUUAACCCGGAAAGGUCAGCCGAUACUGCGGGGCUAGAGUGCAGAAGGGGCAACUGGAAUUCUCGGUGUAGCGGUGAAAUGCGUAGAUAUCGAGAGGAACACCUGCGGCGAAGGCGGGUUGCUGGGCUGACACGUGACGCUGAGGCGCGAAAGCUAGGGGAGCGAACGGG
rnacentral:rRNA from 1 species